CUCUCGCCUGUUUUUACAAAAACAUGUNUUUUUGAAAAUAAUAAAAAGUNUAAUCUGCCCACUGAAUUUAUUUAAAGGGCUGCAGUAUAUUGACUGUACAAAGGUAGCAUAAUCAAUAGUCUUUUAAUUGAAGACUUGUAUGAAUGAUUUGAUGAAAUAUGAACUGUCUCUUUUUUAAAAAUAAAAUUUAAUUUUUUAGUUAAAAAGCUAAAAUAAUUAUAAAAGACGAGAAGACCCUAUAGAGUUUUAUAGUUAUUUAAUUUAAAAAUUUUAUAUAUAAUUUAAAUUUAAAAUUAAUUAAUUAUUUUAUUGGGGUGAUAGAAAAAUUAAAAAAACUUUUUUUAAAAAUUUAACAUUAAUUUAUGAAAUUAUGAUCCAUAAUUUAUGAUUAAAAGAAUCAAUUACCUUAGGGAUAACAGCGUAAUUUUUUUUUUUAGUACAAAUAAGAAAAAGAGUUUGCGACCUCGAUGUUGGAUUAAGAUAAAAUUUAAAUGCAAAAGUUUAAAAUUUUUGAUCUGUUCGAUCAUUAAAAUCUUAC
rnacentral:rRNA from 1 species